CGGACGGGUGAGUAACGCGUGGGUAACCUGCCUCACACAGGGGGAUAACAGUUAGAAAUGACUGCUAAUACCGCAUAACCCGAUAGGAUCGCAUGAUCCAGACGGAAAAGAUUUAUCGGUGUGAGAUGGACCCGCGUCUGAUUAGCUAGUUGGUGAGGUAACGGCCCACCAAGGCGACGAUCAGUAGCCGGCCUGAGAGGGUGAACGGCCACAUUGGGACUGAGACACGGCCCAA
rnacentral:rRNA from 1 species